rnacentral:rRNA from 1 species
GGGCGCAAGCCUGAUGCAGCGACGCCGCGUGAGGGAUGAAGGCCUUCGGGUUGUAAACCUCUUUCAGCAGGGAAGAAGCGCAAGUGACGGUACCUGCAGAAGAAGCGCCGGCUAACUACGUGCCAGCAGCCGCGGUAAUACGUAGGGCGCAAGCGUUGUCCGGAAUUAUUGGGCGUAAAGAGCUCGUAGGCGGUUUGUCGCGUCUGCUGUGAAAACUCGAGGCUCAACCUCGGGCUUGCAGUGGGUACGGGCAGACUAGAGUGCGGUAGGGGAGACUGGAAUUCCUGGUGUAGCGGUGGAAUGCGCAGAUAUCAGGAGGAACACCGAUGGCGAAGGCAGGUCUCUGGGCCGCAACUGACGCUGAGGAGCGAAAGCAUGGGGAGCGAACAGGAUUAGAUACCCUGGUAGUCCAUGCCGUAAAACGUUNNGGCACUAGGUGUGGGGCUCAUUCCACGAGUUCCGUGCCGCAGCAAACGCAUUAAGUGCCCCGCCUGGGGAGUACGGCCG